AACGAACGCUGGCGGCAGGCUUAACACAUGCAAGUCGAGCGCCCCGCAAGGGGAGCGGCAGACGGGUGAGUAACGCGUGGGAAUCUACCCAUCUCUACGGAAUAACGCAUGGAAACGUGUGCUAAUACCGUAUACGUCCUUCGGGAGAAAGAUUUAUCGGAGAUGGAUGAGCCCGCGUUGGAUUAGCUAGUUGGUGGGGUAAGGGCCUACCAAGGCGACGAUCCAUAGCUGGUCUGAGAGGAUGAUCAGCCACACUGGGACUGAGACACGGCCCAGACUCCUACGGGAGGCAGCAGUGGAGAAUAUUGGACAAUGGGCGCAAGCCUGAUCCAGCCAUGCCGCGUGAGUGAUGAAGGCCCUAGUGUUGGAAAGCUCUUUCAACGGUGAAGAUAAUGACGGUAACCGGAGAAGAAGCCCCGGCUAACUUCGUGCCAGCAGCCGCCGUAAGAC
rnacentral:rRNA from 1 species